rnacentral:tRNA from 1 species
GGUUUCAUAGUGUAGUGGUUAUCAUGUCUGCUUUACACGCAGAAGGUCCUUGGUUUUAUCCCCGGUGAAACCA